rnacentral:rRNA from 1 species
AUUGAACGCUGGCGGCAGGCCUAACACAUGCAAGUCGAACGAGUGGCGGACGGGUGAGUAAUGUCUGGGAAACUGCCUGAUGGAGGGGGAUAACUACUGGAAACGGUAGCUCAUACCGCAUACCAUCAGAUGUGCCCAGAUGGGAUUAGCUAGUUGGUGGGGUAACGGCUCACCCAGGCGACGCUACCUAGCUGGUCUGAGAGGAUGACCCGCCACACUGGAACUGAGACACGGUCCAGACUCCUACGGGAGGCAGCAUUGGGGAAGAUGGCACAAUGGGCGCAAGCCUGAUGCAGCCAUGCCGCGUGUAUGAAGAAGGCCUUCGGGUUGUAAAGUACUUUCAGCGGGGAGGCGUUACCCGCAGAAGAAGCACCGGCUAACUCCGUGCCAGCCGCCGCGGUAAUUC